AUUGAACGCUGGCGGCAGGCCUAACACAUGCAAGUCGAACGGAUCGGCGGACGGGUGCGUAAUGCCUAGGAAUCUGCCUGUUAGUGGGGGAUAACGUCCGGAACCGGGCGCUAAUACCGCAUCCUCUCAGAUGAGCCUCUGUCGGAUUAGCUAGGUGGUGGGGUAAAGGCCUACCAAGGCGACGAUCCGUAACUGUUCUGAGAGGAUGAUCAGUCAAACUGGAACUGAGACACGGUCCAGACUCCUACGGGAGGCAGCAGUGGGGAAUAUUGGAGAAUGGGCGAAAGCCUGAUCCAGCCAUGCCGCGUGUGUGAAGAAGGUCUUCGGAUUGUAAAGCACUUUAAGUUGGGAGGCGUUACCAACAGAAGAAGCACCGGCUAACUUCGUGCCAGCAGCCGCGGUAAUAC
rnacentral:rRNA from 1 species